GAUGAACGCUAGCGGCAGGCUUAAUACAUGCAAGUCGAGGGGCAGCAUGGUGUAGCAAUACACUGAUGGCGACCGGCAAACGGGUGCGGAACACGUACAGAACCUUCCUUCGAGCGGGGAAUAGCCCAGAGAAAUUUGGAUUAAUACCCCAUAGUAUAUUGAAAAGGCAUCUUUUUAAUAUUAAAGAUUUAUCACUUGAAGAUGGCUGUGCGGCUGAUUAGGUAGUUGGCGGGGUAACGGCCCACCAAGCCUGCGAUCAGUAACUGGUGUGAGAGCACGACCAGUCACACGGGCACUGAGACACGGGCCCGACUCCUACGGGAGGCAGCAGUAAGGAAUAUUGGUCAAUGGACGAAAGUCUGAACCAGCCAUGCCGCGUGGAGGAUGAAGGUCCUCUGGAUUGUAAACUUCUUUUAUAUGGGACGAAAAAAGGCUUUUCUAAGUCGUCUGACGGUACCAUAUGAAAAAGCACCGGCUAACUCCGUGCCAGCCGCCGCAGUAACAC
rnacentral:rRNA from 1 species